rnacentral:rRNA from 1 species
AUUGAACGCUGGCGGCAUGCUUUACACAUGCAAGUCGAACGGCAGCGUGGGCUUUGGCCUGGCGGCGAGUGGCGAACGGGUGAGUAAUGCAUCGGAACGUGCCCAGUAGUGGGGGAUAGCCCGGCGAAAUCCGGAUUAAUACCGCAUACGACCUGAGGGUGAAAGCGGGGGACCGAAAGGCCUCGCGCGAUUGGAGCGGCCGAUGUCGGAUUAGCUAGUUGGUGGGGUAAAGGCUUACCAAGGCGACGAUCCGUAGCUGGUCUGAGAGGACGACCAGCCACACUGGGACUGAGACACGGCCCAGACUCCUACGGGAGGAAGCAGUGGGGAAUUUUGGACAAUGGGGGCAACGCUGAUCCAGCCAUGCCGCGUGCGGGCAGGAGGCCUUCGGGUUGUAAACCGCUUUUGUUCGGGAAGAAAUCAUCUGGGCUACUACCCCGGGGGGAUGACGGUACCGGAAGAAUAAGCACCGGCUAACUCCGUG